AUGAGAGAGGGGGCAGAAAAUAGAGGCAGGCCUGGAGGCGGAGCCUUCGCUCUGAUUGGCUGCAGCAAAAAGGGGCCGUCACAGAGAGGGCCGGAUUAGCAGAGGUGGGGGAGGUGCUUUGCUUUUAGCUGCAGAUCAGUGCACAACGGCGAGAGAUUAACACUGUUCACAAACCCAGAGACAUGAGGAAGAUGGAAGAGGACCUCGAAUGUGUCUGUGCGAGAAACAGAAAGCUGAUUUAGGACUGCUCUGCACUGGUUUCUUCUUCUAGGAGUGCCUCAGGGUAAGGACUCACUGUCCCUUGACUGUCUCUUUUAGGACUCUCUCUGAUCCUUUGAGGCAUGGACUACAUAUCAUUUCAGCCUUUCUGGGACUCUUCCUCUAAGAUUUCGGAGCGUCUUCUUUCACCCCGUUUCUAAAAGAGUGAGAGAUAUUUGUGUCUCGUACUGAUUCUAUCAGACUUGAAGGGUUUCAUUCGAGAGUUCCUUCAGUCUUUUCUGCCUUUCUCUCUCUCUCUCUGUGUGUGUCUUUGUGAUCAUGCACUGAAAUCAUCAGUUCAUACAUCGAGGGCACACCUGUCUCUCAAAUUCACUCACUUGUGUGGAUCUAACCAGAACUCUGCAGCUGGAAUUUUGGGAUGGAUAUUGCGAUGGAUUUUGGGAUUGCCAUAUUUUUUGUUUAACGCUGAACCUGCCGCACAAGACAAGGUGAAAAGGGGUAAGAACUUUUGUUUCACAGAGGUUGAAAGUAAAGGUUUUCCAGUGCUUACUUAGUCUGGGUCAGCAAACACAUCUCUUCUGCAUCACAGAGCUUCCAAGACAUAUUCUGUGCCGAAUUGGAUUGCUUAGGCCUUCGGCGGCAAAACUCGGAUAAGCAAGGCAGAUGCAAGCUGUAAAGACUGUCCCAGGGCCGUGCUGGUGUGGAGCAGAGAUGUCUCUGACAGCAUGAGAGAUUGCAGGAGAUAGUUCAGAUGAGCCUACUGGAGAUCACUUUGUUUUGAAGGGUCGGUGAAGAAGAGGGGAACGCACUGUGAUUCAUGCUCCCCUAAUGGAAAGCUCUCAGUGCCCUGGAAUACACAUUUCAGUACAACAUGCUCCCAGUUUUCAUCCACAGGAAAAAUUCUUCUUGCCCCUUUAGAAAGGUAGAGGAAUAGGGGAAAAAUUGCUAUCCUUACACACAGGCAUCAUAAACGCCACACAAUCUUUUGACACCCUGUUCACCCCACCUACUGAAAACAGUGGAUUUAGUCAAAGCUUCUGCUGUCAUCCUUUAUCAUAAUGUGAUGAAAUUUCUCACCGUUGGCUUAAAAUGCAUCUCUGAUCAAAUUAUAGGAGUUCAAAUGGAGUGUCUUAUGCAAAUUACUUCAGUUUGAUGAAAAAAGUAACAGAAGCAGAUGCCUUUUUAGCCAUACCAGGUCAAUUUAUGGGGUUUUCAGCCGUGCCUCAGUGCAAUGAGCGUUCUCUCCUCUUUCACUCACAUGAUUGAAGAACAAACUCAAUUUUUACUGACACGUGAUCUCUCGAACUCAGUACUUUGCAGGGGUCUGAGGGGCGUUGGCAAGAAGUGAAUACCUCAGAUGAACUCAGAUCCCUUUAAAGCUAAAAACAUUGUACCCUGAAAAAGGCCUUUCUUUCAGUUUUAUUGAAAUAAAUAUUUGGUGAGAUUGAAGAAAUUACAACAGCAAUAUCAUAUAAAGGAUUUUUAUACAUUUGGCAGACACUUUCAUCCUUGGUGCUACUGAUGCCUUGCCCUGUGCCAGCUGAGCCAAAUAAUUAUAUACUGCUUUUGUAUUAUUAUUGU